GAUGAACGCUGGCGGCGUGCCUAAUACAUGCAAGUCGAGCGAACGGACGAGAAGCUUGCUUCUCGGAUGUUAGCGGCGGACGGGUGAGUAACACGUGGAUAACCUACUUAUAAGACGGGGAUAACUUCGGGAAACCGGAGCUAAUACCGGAUAAUAUUUUGAACCGCAUGGUUCAAAAGUGAAAGACGGUCUUGCUGUCACUUAUAGAUGGAUCCGCGCUGCAUUGGCUAGUUGGUAAGGUAACGGCUUACCAAGGCAACGAUGCAUAGCCGACCUGAGAGGGUGAUCGGCCACACUGGAACUGAGACACGGUCCAGACUCCUACGGGAGGCCGCAGUAGGGAAUCUUCCGCAAUGGGCGAAAGCAUGACGGAACAACGCCGCGUGAGUGAUGACAGUCUUCGGAUCGUAAAACUCUGUUAUUAGGGGAGAACAUCUGUGUAAGUAACUGUGCACAUCGUGACGGUACCUAAUCAGAAAGCCACGGCUAACUACGUG
rnacentral:rRNA from 1 species